AUUGAACGCUGGCGGCAGGCCUAACACAUGCAAGUCGAUCGGAUGAGUGGAGCUUGCUCCAUGAUCCAGCGGCGGACGGGUGAGUAAUGCCUAGGAAUCUGCCUGGUAGUGGGGGACAACGUUUCGAAAGGAACGCUAAUACCGCAUACGUCAUACGGGAGAAAGUGGGGGAUCUUCGGACCCUACGCUUUCAGAUGAGCCUAGGUCGGCUGAGCUAGUUGGUGAGGUAAAGGCGCACCAAGGCGACGAUCCGUAACUGGUCUGAGAGGGAUGAUCAGUCACACUGGAACUGAGACACGGUCCAGACUCCUACGGGAGGCAGCAGUGGGGAAUAUUGGACAAUGGGCGAAAGCCUGAUCCAGCCAUGCCGCGUGUGUGAAGAAGGUCUUCGGAUUGUAAAGCACUUUAAGUUGGGAGGAAGGGCAGUAAGUUAAUACCUUGCUGUUUUGACGUUACCAACAGAAUAAGCACCGGCUAACUUCGUGCCAGCAGCCGCCGUAAAAC
rnacentral:rRNA from 1 species